rnacentral:rRNA from 1 species
GUGCCAGCAGCCGCGGUAAUACGUAGGGCGCAAGCGUUGUCCGGAAUUAUUGGGCGUAAAGAGCUCGUAGGCGGUUUGCCGCGUCUGCCGUGAAAGCCCGGGGCUCAACCCCGGGUCUGCGGUGGGUACGGGCAGACUGGAGUGCAGUAGGGGAGACCGGAAUUCCUGGUGUAGCGGUGAAAUGCGCAGAUAUCAGGAGGAACACCGAUGGCGAAGGCAGGUCUCUGGGCUGUAACUGACGCUGAGGAGCGAAAGCAUGGGGAGCGAACAGGAUUAGAUACCCUGGUAGUCC